AGAGUUUGAUCCUGGCUCAGGACGAACGCUGGCGGCGUGCCUAACACAUGCAAGUCGAACGGAGUUGAAAGGAGCUUGCUUUUUUCAACUCAGUGGCGGACGGGUGAGUAACGCGUGAGUAACCUGCCUUUCAGAGGGGGAUAACGUUCUGAAAAGAACGCUAAUACCGCAUAAGAUUGUAGUUUCGCAUGGAGCAGCAAUCAAAGGAGCAAUCCGCUGAAAGAUGGACUCGCGUCCGAUUAGAUAGUUGGCGGGGUAACGGCCCACCAAGUCGACGAUCGGUAGCCGGACUGAGAGGUUGAUCGGCCACAUUGGGACUGAGACACGGCCCAGACUCCUACGGGAGGCAGCAGUGAGGGAUAUUGGGCAAUGGGGGAAACCCUGACCCAGCAACGCCGCGUGAGGGAUGACGGUUUUCGGAUUGUAAACCUCUGUCCUCUGUGAAGAUAGUGACGGUAGCAGAGGAGGAAGCUCCGGCUAACUACGUGCCAGCAGCCGCGGUAAUACGUAGGGAGCAAGCGUUGUCCGGAUUUACUGGGUGUAAAGGGUGCGUAGGCGGAUUGGCAAGUCAGAAGUGAAAUCCAUGGGCUUAACCCAUGAACUGCUUUUGAAACUGUUAGUCUUGAGUGAAGUAGAGGUAGGCGGAAUUCCCGGUGUAGCGGUGAAAUGCGUAGAGAUCGGGAGGAACACCAGUGGCGAAGGCGGCCUACUGGGCUUUAACUGACGCUGAGGCACGAAAGUGUGGGUAGCAAACAGGAUUAGAUACCCUGGUAGUCCACACUGUAAACGAUGAUUACUAGGUGUGGGGGGUCUAACCCCCUCCGUGCCGGAGUUAACACAAUAAGUAAUCCACCUGGGGAGUACGACCGCAAGGUUGAAACUCAAAGGAAUUGACGGGGGCCCGCACAAGCAGUGGAGUAUGUGGUUUAAUUCGACGCAACGCGAAGAACCUUACCAGGUCUUGACAUCCAACUAACGAAGCAGAGAUGCAUUAGGUGCCCUUCGGGGAAAGUUGAGACAGGU
rnacentral:rRNA from 1 species